GAAGGUGUAGCUCAGUGGUAAAGUGUAUGCCUAGCAUGCUCAAGGUCCCGGGUUCGAUCCCCAGUACCUCCU
rnacentral:tRNA from 1 species